UCCAAUGGCCUAAGUGACUAUAAGUAUUUAAAAAUAAUUCUUGGGGCCUGACAAAGGUUUGGGAGAAGAGAAGAGAUACACAGAAGGAAGAUGGCCACAUGAAGACACAAGGAGGAUGCCAUGUGAUGAUGGAGAUAGAAAUUGGAGUGAUGGAUCUACAAGCCAAGGACCCGAAGGAUUGCCAGCUGUCAUCAGAAACUAGAAGACAGCCCUGGAAUAGAUUCUCUCUCAGAACUCUCCAAAGGAACCAACCUUGCUGACACCUCAGUUUCAGACUUACAGUCUCCAGAGGUGUGAAAGAUUAAAUUUCUGUGGUCUCACACCACCUGGUCUGUGAUACUUUGUUAGAGGAGCCAUAGCAAACUAAUAUAGGAUCUAAUCUUGCAACAAUGACUCCUGGCUGCCAGCAGUCCCAGGUGUUCAGUCCGCACCUUUUUUUCAGAUCGUUUUUUUUCUUUUUUUAUCGUAAUCUUUUUCCAAGGGAUCCAGUUUCUUUUCUUCUAGUCUGUCCCCAUCCAGGCACUCUUAACUAUGAAUAAGAUUCAAGCUCUACCCUAUAAAAACACACAUGUCAUUGAAAAUCAAGGAUUAUUUGAGCAAUAGUGUCCAUAUUCUUAAAUAUUCCAUGACAAAAGCUACAAUGCCAGGAACACACACAUUCCUUCUGUGAAGAUACUAAAGAAUAAAUUAUUCAAUAAUACUCAUUAAAGCCUGGUAAGGUAGAAUUUAUUCAGGACCAUUGUGAUAGGUAUAAGGACCACUUCAAUGAUAUUUUGCAGUGAGAAAGAGAGAUUGAGCUCAACUGCAAAUAAAACAUGGCAAGUGUGAAUUCAUAGCCCACAAAGGUCAGGGUAGGGGUCAGUGAAUAAAAAAUUAAAGGUAAGAAGGAAUUCUGACUAAACUGACUUAUCAGGAUUUUUUCUGAAGACAGGCUAGGGUAACUAAAUAUCAUCUGGGAGAUAGUGGAAGUUGAGGAAGCUGAUCACAUAUCGAGGGUGAUCACACAUCAAAGGAAGGGGGUUAUUCUUGAUAAACUGACUUAGCAGGAUUCUUGCUAAAGCUGGAUUUUAUAAGAAAGUGCACAGAUGGGCCUAGGAAAACAUUCAGGAGACUGACUAAAGUUUGGUCAAGCAGAGAAUCUUAGCCAAAGACACACUUAACCUCACAGAGCUGUUUAACAGAGACACAUCUCUGAUAACAGCCAUAAGACUUACAUGCAUUUUUUUUUUUUUAAACAGGGUCUUCCUCUGGGAGAUCACAGCUCAUUGAAGCCCUGAUUGCACUGGCUCAAGUGAUCCUUCCACCUCGGUUAUAAUAAUAACCAAUCCUCUCAGAAAUGUGAGAAUGGUUCCUGCUUUAGCCUCCCAAGUAGCUGGGACUACAGGUGUGUGCCACCAUGCCUGGCUAAUUUUUUGAUUUUUUUGUAGAGAUGAGGUCUCACUGUGUUGUCCAGGCUGAUCUAGAAUUCCUGGGCUUCAAGCAAUCCUCCUGCCUUGGUCUCCCAAAGUACUGGGAUUAGAGGCAUGAGCCACCACAACUGGCCAGACUUACAUAUAUUUUCAAAAUAUUCAUGCAUAUAAUGUGCAAAAUAUUUUUUAUUUUUGUAUAUUUUCCCUAUAUAUGUUAAAAUAUUUUCUUAUCUUUAUGUUGUCUAUCAUGCCUAGGAAAAAAAAAAUCUCAGAAAUGUGAGAAUUGUUCCUGGUUUAAUCUCUGAGGUUUUAACUAUUUUUUUCUUUACUUCUAAAUUUAGUUUUGAAUCAGCAUUCAGUUUGCUUAAGUACCCCAAACAUUGGGACAGAUAACCUUGUACUUUUUCUCCCAAAGUGAUGUCUAAACUUGAGAGAAUUUUUAAAAUUUAUGAGUGAUUUCUCAAAGAAUUUAUCUCAUUUGAAAUUACGGAGAUCAUGCUGAUCCUAUAAACCAUUAGAUCCCAUGGAGAAAUGUUAGCUAUAGGGCUGCAGUGAUCAGAUUGCUCUAGAUGCAACAAAUCUUUUCUUUACUAGAUCAGUAACCUAACAGGUUUUGUUUCUUUCCUGGCUCUGUUUUAGCCCUGUCUCUUUUUCUACCUCAUAUCAUCCAUUCUCCAGAAGCUAAUAUUACUCAUCAUUUUCAUCACAAGUUCAUGCACUCAGGCAUGGAAACCCAAUAAUAUAUUCUGGUACCUACAUAUAACUUACAUAAUAAAAUGC
rnacentral:lncRNA from 10 species